rnacentral:lncRNA from 1 species
UUCAUUAACAUAAAACAUAAGUUAAGAUGUUCGCAUCGAUAUACGACGGAAUACAAACGAUCCCCGACUCGAUGUUACAAAUACCAGAGCACUAAUAUACAUCACAACCAAACUAAACUUAACAAAGCUAUACAAAGGUAGCCUACACUAGCUCCUCACCAAAAGUGCUCCACAACAAAAGGAUCUACAGCUAAAGCUCGUCGAGACCUCGACCUGAAUACCU